UUCCACAGCGCCUUUCCGCUCCCUGCCCCUCUGCCUGGAACCCUGCUCUCCUGGCUUUUUUCCUGUUUGCCUUCUUCCCCUUCUGGCUCGGAUUGAAAGUCACCUUCUCAGAAAAGCCUUUCUAAAAGUAUUAAUGAAAUACCCACAGUAAUGAAAGAGAAGAAUGCAUUAUACAAGAUGCUAUCGGAGGCAAGAACAUUCAUCACUGAGUAAUACUGUGGAUAUUCAUUUCCCUACCUUUUUUAAAAAGUGAAAUUACUGAUGUAAUUAAAAUGCAAUAUAUAAAAGAUUCAAGAA